GCGGAGGUUACCGAGCCUGGUCAAAGGUGCGAGAUUCAGGGUCUCGUCCUUAGUGGUUCGCCGGUUCAAAUCCGGCCCUCCGCA
rnacentral:tRNA from 3 species